GAUAAGUGCUAGCCGGACUCGCCUAAAUAGCGAGUUCCUUCAGACUUGCUUUUUCGUGUCAAUUUUCUACAUAAAUCCACUUUGACCACUUGAUCUUCCAUUUUCUUUUCGUUUCGUUUCUUCCUUCCAGGCUUCCACGCACACUCUCUCUCUCUCUCUCAACCUUUCCACCCUUCACUUCGUUUUUUCCGUACAUUUACUACAUGCUCAAAUCCAAAUCUAUCAGGACAAAGCUCCUUAUCCUCUUUUUUUAUCUUCAAUCUCUCCCAAUCCAUCUAUAACCCAUUUUCCCAAUCCAUCUAUUUAACAAGUCGACACCUGAUGCGCUGAAGAAUCUCAAUCUCUCUCCCAGAAGUUAAAGAAUCGCAUGACUAGAUGAACAACAACCGACUCGGUUCGUCCGUGUUCCGUGUCGCCGUGUCGGAAUGUCAGACACUUCGGGUGUCCGACACUCCGGGGUUUCAGGAUGUCCAGACACUUCGGGGUGUCCGACGCUCCAACACUCGGGGGUUUCGGAGUGUCCGUGCUCCAUGUCGCCGUGUCUCUAUAAUUGCUUAAAUUUCACUCGAUGUGUGUCUGCAGGUUGGCCUCCCUUCCAUGGAUGUAUCUGCAUAAUCUCCUUUAGCGUCUUAUUAUCAGAUGGAGUUGCUUGAAGGGCAUUUAGAUAUGAUCGUCUCAUCGUGAAGCUGAAACAGGUACAUGUUAAAAUCAAUCGGGCCAAUCUUAUUAUAUAACAUGCAGUGUUAAAACAAUGACACAUUGUCACUUACAACCAUCCAUCUAAGUCAUUUUAGUCAUAAUAGCAACCCCACUUUCAUUGAAGCAUGAUCGAUCUCGUACAAUUUAUGGGACAAGGUUUGGUGGGAGGUUUGGUGGGACAAGGGUUGUUGUUGUAUCAAAUUGUGUAAAAUUAAACUCGUAAAUAUUUUACGUGGAUAGUUUUAAUUAUGUAUAUACAUUUAAGUAUUUGAUACUUGAUAGUACGAGAUGUAUCUAAUAGCAUGUACUAAUACCCUUAUAACACAAUCUUCAAACA